rnacentral:rRNA from 1 species
AAUCAACACUGGCGGCGUGCCUCAGACAUGCAAGUCGAACGAUUAAGACUUCCUUCGGGAAGUGUAUAAAGUGGCGCACGGGUGAGUAACACGUAAGUAGUCUACCCUCGAGUGGGGAAUAACGUUCGGAAACGAACGCUAAUACCGCAUAACGCAGCGGCACCGCAAGGUGACAGUUGUUAAAGGAGUAAUUCGCUUGAGGAGGAGCUUGCGGCAGAUUAGCUAGUUGGUAAGGUAACGGCUUACCAAGGCUACGAUCUGUAUCCGGUCUAAGAGGACGGUCGGACACACUGACACUGAAUAACGGGUCAGACUCCUACGGGAGGCAGCAGUCGGGAAUUUUGGGCAAUGGGCGAAAGCCUGACCCAGCAACGCCGCGUGAAGGAUGAAGUAUUUCGGUAUGUAAACUUCGAAAGAAUGGGAAGAAUAAAUGACGGUACCAUUUAUAAGCUCCGGCUAACUACGUGCCAGCAGCCGCGGUAA